rnacentral:rRNA from 1 species
AUGGUUGCUCUCUUUUUAAGAUCUGUCCCAAAACCGGCACGACAAUCGGUUUGUGGUGUCGGAGUCUGGACAGAUAAAGGGCAAACACUAUGCAAUGGCAACAGCCCUUGGUACGGCAGAAGGUCACCAAACAAAGCUUGUCCAACUGGCUGCAUAUUAGGGUUUAAGGGUGCUCGCAUGAAUUGUAUUGUUAGUGCAGCUCUACUUUUCUUUUCACUUCACAAAAUCCUUACAAAGAAGAAUCCUACAGAAAAAGUCAAAUAUGCCCUUCAGUUACUAUUAUCUAUCUAUUCAAAGUGUCAGGCUGGCGCAAGGAAUGGAACAAUGCUACGAACAAAACAACCCCAAAAUACAGUAUUCACCACAGGCGUGACAUAUUAUAUACAUGCAAUAAAAACUACAAAAGCUGCCGCUGGAUGUAUUGACAUAGUCCCUCUAAGGCCUCCUUUGGUUUAG